rnacentral:rRNA from 1 species
UACGUAGGGUGCAAGCGUUAAUCGGAAUUACUGGGCGUAAAGCGUGCGCAGGCGGUUCCAUAAGACAGAUGUUAAAUCCCCGGGCUCAACCUGGGAACUUCAUUUGUGACUGUGGGGCUAGAGUACGGUAGAGGGGGAUGGAAUUCCGCGUGUAACAGUGAAAUGCGUAGAUAUGAGGAGGAACACCAAUGGCGAAGGCAAUCCCCUGGACCUGUACUGACGCUCAUGCACGAAAGCGUGGGGAGCAAACAGG